rnacentral:rRNA from 1 species
UACGUAGGGAGCAAGCGUUGUCCGGAAUCAUUGGGCGUAAAGCGCGCGUAGGUGGCCUCAUAAGUCCGCUGUGAAAGUCCAGGGCUCAACCUUUGAAAGCCGGUGGAUACUGUGGGGCUAGAGUACGGAAGAGGCGAGUGGAAUUCCUGGUGUAGCGGUGGAAUGCGCAGAUAUCAGGAGGAACACCAAUAGCGAAGGCAGCUCGCUGGGACGUUACUGACACUGAGGCGCGAAAGCGUGGGGAGCGAACAGG